UGGCGGACGGGUGAGUAAUGUCGGGGAAACUGCCCGAUGGAGGGGGAUAACUACUGGAAACGGUAGCUAAUACCGCAUAACGUCGCAAGACCAAAGAGGGGGACCUUCGGGCCUCUUGCCAUCGGAUGUGCCCAGAUGGGAUUAGCUAGUAGGUGGGGUAACGGCUCACCUAGGCGACGAUCCCUAGCUGGUCUGAGAGGAUGACCAGCCACACUGGAACUGAGACACGGUCCAG
rnacentral:rRNA from 1 species